rnacentral:rRNA from 1 species
UGGGGAAUUUUGGACAAUGGGCGCAAGCCUGAUCCAGCCAUGCCGCGUGGGUGAAGAAGGCCUUCGGGUUGUAAAGCCCUUUCGGCCGGGAAGAAAUCGUGCGGGCGAACAGUCUGCAUGGAUGACGGUACCGGAAGAAGAAGCACCGGCUAACUACGUGCCAGCAGCCGCGGUAAUACGUAGGGUGCGAGCGUUAAUCGGAAUUAUUGGGCGUAAAGCGUGCGCAGGCGGCGCCAUAAGACAGCUGUGAAAUCCCCGGGCUUAACCUGGGAACUGCGGUUGUGACUGUGGUGCUAGAGUACGGCAGAGGGAGGUGGAAUUCCUGGUGUAGCAGUGAAAUGCGUAGAGAUCAGGAGGAACACCGAUGGCGAAGGCAGCCUCCUGGGCUGAUACUGACGCUCAUGCACGAAAGCGUGGGGAGCAAACAGG